CACAGCUCCUCGUUAUUCUGACGGUCAGCAGGAAACCCGGUUGCUCAAGGUGCUGCAGAUGUUGCACGGAGCGACAGUGAAGAGGAAAACAGGAAGGAACGUCCAGCAGAACCAGAACUUGGAUCAGAGUUUAGAGCGGACAGAACCAGAACCACAGAACCUGAUCCGCAUGUGGCCUCGCAUUGUGCUGGAAGGAGGAUCUGCUGCAGUUCAUUUUAACCUCGGCAUGAACAACUGGCUGCAGAGGACAGCGGGAGGAGUUAAAUGUUUCAGCGGAAGGUCAAAGAUUCUGCCUUGUCCUUCGGCUGCUGAAAGUUUUCUGAUCUCCUGGUAAAGAACCCUGCCUGUCGCUGACCCUGCCUCCUGCUUGCUGUUUGCUGGAUAUCUGUGCCUGUGGCUCUCCUGUGUAUGACCCUGGAUCGUCUCUCUCCGUCUCUGGUUUGUGGACUUUGCCCCUGUGGUCUGUUUGUUCUCUGACCCCCCAAGACUGUCUGUUGUCCUGUCAUCCUACUUCGUCCCACCCCCGGCUGGAU